CUGAUGAUGAACUGGUAGUUUGUUAUUUUAAAUUUAAAAAUUUGUUAUAAUGCCCUUUCAGGAUUUGCGUUAUGACAGUCGGGUAGUUUUAUUAUGUUGAUGGAACGACAUUAUUAAUUGUUGUGUGCAACUGUAAGCUGUAAAAGUCUGUUAUUCUCAGAAGGGGCAAAUGCAUUGUGAAACAGCUUUGAAAUCUAUUGACAGACUUUGUCCUUUCCCACAAGAUGGAUACGUGGACAACUUGGUCAGAGUCUGCCCUGGCCCUGAUGGAGUGCCCUGGAGCUGUCCACAGGAAAGUGCUGGAAAAGGAAAAAACAGAUGGUCCAGGCUUACAUCUGCCAGCAACUUUGCUACAGGGAGCUACAGGACUGGAAGUGCAACAUUUUCUGUGACAUUAGUUGAUAUUAGUGGAUAUGAGAGCCUGUAGGAUAAGCAGUGCAGGACAUGUCUCUUUUCUUUCUGGCUUUAUAGUUUCAGAACACCUUGUAACUCACUUCCAUGUGAGUUCCAUAUGUGGUGCAUAUGGUCGGACAGUCCAGCCAAGACUGGUAAUAUGCUUCACCAUGUUCAGAUGAGUAUGAGGCCUGGUGUCAGGGUGUUGCAAGAGAAAGCCUGCCUUCUUCUCUGGACCAAUGUGGAAUUCUGAGCCGUCAGUUUAGUCAGCUUUUCAAGGCAGAGGUCAGAGUUGACAGUUUGUCCAGGUUCCAAGAAAUCCAGUAGGCUCACCUCUUUCCUAUGCCAAGAAAGAAUGCACAUCACUUUAGCCAAUUGAGGGCUGCAUCUUUUUCUUCAAUGAAGAAUUCAUGUCACCACUCCAUGGAUAGCCGUUUUGACUGUGGCUCAUAGAGACGCUACAUCUCAUCACCAGUAAAUAUGUGACCCAGGAAAUAGUCAUCUUCAGCAUUGUGCUGAUUCAGUAGGUCCAGAAAAACUUGCUUAUGGCAUUCUUUCUGUUCCUGUGAAAGCAACGGUGGGGCCCACCUGAAGAAACCUUUAUGAUAUUCCAAACUUGCCACCAUUGUUUCUAGUGCAUUCAGCUCCAUAUACAGUUUCUUCAGCAUAAUGCUCUGGAUUUGUGCAGAUCUGUUGAUCAAGGCACCCUUUAUUUUGGAGUCCACUAACUGUAUUUAGCAUCACUAUGACCUGCUGUGUCCUCAAUCCAAAUCUAGCCAGUAUCUAGUACUUAAGAAAAAGGUAGAGAACCCAGAAGCUUAAGUAUGCAUUUGAAUCCUUUCUGGGUCCCACACAAUUAGCUAAAGUCCUGAACCUUGGGAUUACAACAGCCUAUUUAUUUCCAUGGAAACUACAACAGAUACAAAGAGCACAAUAACACUAUUAUUUAAUAGAGCAAUUCCAAGAUACAAAAAUAUUUUUGACACAGUCACUACCAUUACUCGAUUCAUGCAGAUGAGCUGAUCAAGACGCUU
rnacentral:lncRNA from 1 species